rnacentral:rRNA from 1 species
CAGNCGGUACUCGCGAAUGCCCUCUAGAUUAGAGUUGAUCAUGGCUCAGGACGAACGCUGGCGGCGUGCCUAAUACAUGCAAGUCGGGCGACAGAGAAGGAGCUUGCUCCUUCGACGUUAGCGGCGGACGGGUGAGUAACACGUGGGCAACCUACCUUAUAGUUUGGGAUAACUCCGGGAAACCGGGGCUAAUACCGAAUAAUCUAUUUUACUUCAUGGUGAAAUACUGAAAGACGGUUUCGGCUGUCGCUAUAAGAUGGGCCCGCGGCGCAUUAGCUAGUUGGUGAGGUAACGGCUCACCAAGGCGACGAUGCGUAGCCGACCUGAGAGGGUGAUCGGCCACACUGGGACUGAGACACGGCCCAGACUCCUACGGGAGGCAGCAGUAGGGAAUCUUCCACAAUGGGCGAAAGCCUGAUGGAGCAACGCCGCGUGAGUGAAGAAGGUUUUCGGAUCGUAAAACUCUGUUGUAAGGGAAGAACAAGUACAGUAGUAACUGGCUGUACCUUGACGGUACCUUAUUAGAAAGCCACGGCUAACUACGUGCCAGCAGCCGCGGUAAUACGUAGGUGGCAAGCGUUGUCCGGAAUUAUUUGGGCGUAAAGCGCGCGCAGGCGGUCCUUUUAAGUCUNGCAUGUGAAAGCCCACGGGCUCAAACCGUUGGAGGGGUCCUU